CUUAAUGUGUUACUUCGGCACCAAGGGUAUCKAAACCCCUAACACCUAGCAUUCAUCGUUUACGGCGUGGACUACCAKGGUAUCUAAUCCUGUUUGCUCCCCACGCUUUCGCGCCUCAGCGUCAGUUACAGCCCAGRGAGUCGCCUUCGCCACUGGUGUUCCUCCACAUAUCUACGCAUUUCACCGCUACACGURGAAUUCCACUCUCCUCUUCUGCACUCAAGCUCCCCAGUUUCCAGUGCGACCCVAAGUUGAGCCUCGGGAUUAAACACCAGACUWAAAGAGCCKYCUGCGCGCGCUUUACGCCCAAUAAUUCCSGWCAACGCUUGCCCCCUACGUAUUACCSCGGCUGCUKGCACGUAGUUAGCCGGGGCUUUCUUCUCAGGUACC
rnacentral:rRNA from 1 species